rnacentral:rRNA from 1 species
AAUGAACGCUGGCGGCAUGCUUUACACAUGCAAGUCGAACGGUAACAGGUUAAGCUGACGAGUGGCGAACGGGUGAGUAAUGCAUCGGAACGUGCCCGAUCGUGGGGGAUAACGCAGCGAAAGCUGCGCUAAUACCGCAUACGAUCUGAGGAUGAAAGCGGGGGACCGUAAGGCCUCGCGCGAUCGGAGCGGCCGGUGUCAGAUUAGGUAGUUGGUGGGGUAAAGGCUCACCAAGCCAACGAUCUGUAGCUGGUCUGAGAGGACGACCAGCCACACUGGGACUGAGACACGGCCAAGAGUCCUACGGGCGGCAGCAGUGGGGAAUUUUGGACAAUGGGCGAAAGCCUGAUCCAGCAAUGCCGCGUGCAGGAAGAAGGCCUUCGGGUUGUAAACUGCUUUUGUACGGAGCGAAAAGGCCCUCUCUAAUACAGUGGGCUCAUGACGGUACCGUAAGAAUAAGCACCGGCUAACUACGUGCCAGCCGCCGCAGUAA